rnacentral:rRNA from 1 species
GAUGAACGCUGGCGGCGUGCCUAAUACAUGCAAGUAGAACGCUGAAGGAAGGAGCUUGCUCUUUCCGGAUGAGUUGCGAACGGGUGAGUAACGCGUAGGUAACCUGCCUGGUAGCGGGGGAUAACUAUUGGAAACGAUAGCUAAUACCGCAUAACAGUAGAUGUUGCAUGAUAUCUACUUAAAAGGUGCAAUUGCACCACUACCAGAUGGACCUGCGUUGUAUUAGCUAGUUGGUGAGGUAACGGCUCACCAAGGCGACGAUACAUAGCCGACCUGAGAGGGGGAUCGGCCACACUGGGACUGAGACACGGCCCAGACUCCUACGGGAGGCAGCAGUAGGGAAUCUUCGGCAAUGGACGGAAGUCUGACCGAGCAACGCCGCGGGAGUGAAGAAGGUUUUCGGAUCGUAAAGCUCUGUUGUAAGAGAAGAACGAGUGUGAGAGUGGAAAGUUCACACUGUGACGGUAGCUUACCAGAAAGGGACGGCUAACUACGUG